rnacentral:rRNA from 1 species
UGGGGAAUAUUGCACAAUGGGGGAAACCCUGAUGCAGCAACGCCGCGUGCGGGAUGACGGCCUUCGGGUUGUAAACCGCUUUCAGCCAUGACGAAGCUUUUGUGACGGUAGUGGCAGAAGAAGCACCGGCUAACUACGUGCCAGCAGCCGCGGUGAUACGUAGGGGGCGAGCGUUGUCCGGAAUUAUUGGGCGUAAAGAGCUUGUAGGCGGUUUGUCGCGUCGAAAGUGUAAACUCAGUGCUUAACGCUGAGCCUGCUUUCGAUACGGGCUGACUAGAGGAAGGUAGGGGAGAAUGGAAUUCCCGGUGGAGCGGUGGAAUGCGCAGAUAUCGGGAGGAACACCAGUGGCGAAGGCGGUUCUCUGGACCUUUCCUGACGCUGAGAAGCGAAAGCGUGGGUAGCAAACAGG